rnacentral:rRNA from 1 species
GACGUAGGGCGCGAGCGUUGUCCGGAUUUAUUGGGCGUAAAGAGCUCGUAGGCGGCUUGUUACGUCGUUCGUGAAAACCUUGGGGCUCAACCCCAAGCUUGCGGUCGAUACGGGCAGGCUAGAGUUCGGUAGGGGAGACUGGAAUUCCUGGUGUAGCGGUGAAAUGCGCAGAUAUCAGGAGGAACACCGGUGGCGAAGGCGGGUCUCUGGGCCGAUACUGACGCUGAGGAGCGAAAGCGUGGGGAGCGAACAGG